rnacentral:rRNA from 1 species
UUGACCUCAAAUCAGGUAGGACUACCCGCUGAACUUAAGCAUAUCAAUAAGCGGAGGAAAAGAAACUAACAAGGAUUCCCCUAGUAACUGCGAGUGAAGAGGGAAAAGCUCAAAUUUAAAAUCUGGCUUCCUUAGGUUGUCCGAGUUGUAAUCUAGAGAAGCGUCAUCCGCGUUGGACCGUGUACAAGUCUCCUGGAACGGAGCGUCAUAGAGGGUGAGAAUCCCGUCUUUGACACGGACUACCAGGGCUUUGUGAUGCGCUCUCAAAGAGUCGAGUUGUUUGGGAAUGCAGCUCAAAAUGGGUGGUAAAUUCCAUCUAAAGCUAAAUAUUGGCGAGAGACCGAUAGCGAACAAGUACCGUGAGGGAAAGAUGAAAAGAACUUUGGAAAGAGAGUUAAACAGUACGUGAAAUUGCUGAAAGGGAAACGCUUGAAGUCAGUCGCGUUGGUCGAGAAUCAGCCUUGCUUUUGCAUGGCUUAUUUCGCGGCUCAACGGGUCAGCAUCAAUUUUGAUCAUUGGAUAAAGAUGAGAGGAAUGUGGCAUCUUCGGAUGUGUUAUAGCCUCUUGUUGCAUGCAGUGGUUGGGAUUGAGG